rnacentral:rRNA from 1 species
GACGAACGCUGGCGGCGUGCUUAACACAUGCAAGUCGAACGGAAAGGCCCUGCUUUUGUGGGGUGCUCGAGUGGCGAACGGGUGAGUAACACGUGAGUAACCUGCCCUUGACUUUGGGAUAACUUCAGGAAACUGGGGCUAAUACCGGAUAGGAGCUCCUGCUGCAUGGUGGGGGUUGGAACGUUUCGGCGGUUGGGGAUGGACUCGCGGCUUAUCAGCUUGUUGGUGGGGGAGUGGCUUACCCAGGCUUUGGCGGGUAGGCGGCCUGAGAGGGUGACCGGCCACAUUGGGACUGAGGUACGGCCCAGACUCCUACGGGAGGCAGCAGGCGGGAAUAUGGCACAAUGGGCGGAAGCCUGAGGCAGCAACGCCGCGUGCGGGAUGACGGCCUUCGGGUUGUAAACCGCUUCCGCCUGUGACGAAGCGUGAGUGACGGUAAUGGGUAAAUAAGCACCGGCUAACUACGUG